rnacentral:rRNA from 1 species
GUCCACGCCCUAAACGAUGAUUACUAGAUAUCGGGCGAAACUUUCGCUCGGUGUCCAAGGGAAACCGAUAAGUAAUCCACCUGGGAAGUACGCUCGCAAGGGUGAAACUCAAAGAAAUUGACGGGGCCCGCACAAGCGGUGGAGCAUGUGGUUUAAUUCGAUGGUACGCGAGGAACCUUACCUGGGCUAGAAUGCGAGUGAAGUAUUCAGAAAUGGAUACGUCCGCAAGGACACAAAGCAAGGUGCUGCAUGGCUGUCGU